AAUCCGACUGUCAUGCUUGGAGCUUCAACACUUUAAUUUCCGUGGCUCAAACAGAAAUGGUUCCUUCUUGAAAGUUGUUCAUCUGCUCAAGAACUAGAGGGUGUCCAAAAUUCAGCUCCAUUGGAGAGAAGCAGCAGCUGCAAAAAUUUGAUAGAGAAAAGGAGGCGAAGCUUUGUUGGAUUUCUAGGCUGGGGAAGAUUCCAGUUUUUGUAGCAACUUCAGUACUGUGACUGUGGAAGACGGAUUGCUUUCUGAUUGAGAAGGGUUCCGGCAUCGCUUUGCACCAUCUUCAUUGACGCGGGGCACCAUCCAACUGUUUGGGCAGGAGCUAUCUGACAUAGAGAAGGUGUUGAGGGUGCCCAAAGAGGAUAGACACUUAAGCAAGCUACGACCCUUAUUUCGUCGGUACGGUUUCCAACCCUUAGUUUCCGAGAGCCAGGGACGAUCGAUGGAGAAGGUAAGCAAGAAAACAGGGACUAGCACCCAUAAAAGGAAAGCACCAGUGUUAGUUCCUUCGGAAGACAUCCUACCGCAUAAGAAAAUUCAUAAGUUCCGAGGGGAACCAUCCGUUAGACCUAAGUCCCAAGAUAGGGUCCUUAAGGGGCCUGCCUUUAGGAAGACUGGAGUCGAGGCCGUUGAAAAUGCUGCUGCCGUAGUUGUAGGAGAAGGGAGCCGACUGUUGCCUCCUCCUCUUACUAUGGAGCACACUGUCCAGGAAAAUGAUCCCGGUUCCCGCCAUGAGGGGAAAGGC